UACGAAGGGUGCAAGCGUUAGUCGGAAUUACUGGGCGUAAAGCGUGCGUAGGCGGUUUUGUAAGCCAGAUGUGAAAGCCCCGGGCUCAACCUGGGAAUGGCAUUUGGGACUGCAAGGCUUGAGUGCGGCAGAGGAGACUGGAAUUCCUGGUGUAGCAGUGAAAUGCGUAGAUAUCAGGAGGAAUACCGAUGGCGAAGGCAGGUCUCUGGGCUGACACUGACGCUCAUGCACGAAAGCGUGGGGAGCAAACAGG
rnacentral:rRNA from 1 species